UUUUAAUGAUGAAGCUAUAUAAUAUCAAACUGAAAAACAAUGAUUUUUUUUGAGCUUUUUAACCCUGAUAUAUC